CACGUCUGUUUGCAUGUUCACCACAAGUACUUUGUGUGCUCAAUGCGACACUUAAUGUCUUCAAAAAGGUUCCUAGUCGGCGUUUGAACAUCUCAACAUCCCUCAUGUUUUAUUGCCAGAAAGGGAAAAAAACCUAUUCUCAUUUUCCAUACGAGAUGUACUAAUGUGGGUGCUGUGUGUUGUUGUUUCCCUAGAAUUUAUGGUCAUCACCCCCGAGAAAAUGAAUGCCGUAGCAGGCAGCACGGUUUUCCUGCCCUGCUCGUACACCUGUACAAUCAGCGGCGUUAUGCACACGCUGGUGGAGUGGUUUCAGACUAUAGAUGGACAUGAAGAGAGGCUCUAUAAAUUCGCCAAUGGAGAUAGCCACGGGCUGUUACACACCACCUGGACGGGUGAUGUGACCAAGUGCGAUGCCUCCAUCACUGUGAGUGACAUCAAGACCCACGACUCUGGGCGAUAUCGCUGCGAGGUCACGGUGUUUCCACAAAACAUCCACGACAUUGGGUACCUGCAGCUGCAUGUCAACAGUCCAUCAGAACUCGUGGUUGUGACCCCAGAUAAAAUGAACGCCAUGGCGGGCACUACAUUUAUCCUGCUGUGCUCCUACACCUGCACAAUCAGCGGCGUUAGCCACAAGCUGGUGGAGUGGUUCAGGACCACAGACGGGCGUGAACAGAGGGUGAGUUACUCCUCUGUCCGUUCUGUGCGCCAUUUGCCGAUCAAUCGCAGCAAGAGCAAGCGUGGAAUGAUAGUCUCCAUAAUAAAUGAUAGUCUCGUUAGUAAACCUGGUCACAUGACCCGUGAGCAUUUACCUGGUCACAUGACCCUUGAGCAUUUACAAUAUGCAACGCAGAUGAACAGGUUUGGUAUUUUCUUGCCAGAUCGAGGGCCCCAUCGUCACGUGACUGGGCGGAGGCAUGGGCGAGCCAAUUGAAAAUCGUCUCCACGUGAAGCCCCCCCCUUCGGCAACAGUUAAUCCAGCCCGGUCGCAAGCCCUGCAGACAGAAUAAUUCUCGGGUUUCAUCUGAACGAAUUUGAUACCCGCAUAAUGUGACGCAUUUGAUCUCUGCGUGUUGCCUUCACCUUGCUUCACCACAGAUUUAUCAAUACACCGAUGGAGAGAGCGGCCGCUGGCCUUUACAGGCCACCUGGGUGGGCGAUGUGUCCACGUGCGACGCCUCCGUCACCGUCAGCGGCAUCCGCACCAACGACUCUGGGCGAUAUCGCUGUGAGGUCACGGUGUAUCCACAAAACAUCCAAGACAUUGGGUACCUUCAGCUGAACAUCCACCCGCAAACAGACCUGGCCGUUGUCAUCCCGGAUGCAAAGGAUGCCACAGUAGGCAGCACGGCUCUCCUGUCCUGCUCCUACACCUGCAACAUCACGGGUAUUAGACACACGCUGGUGGAGUGGUUCAGGACCAUAGACGGACGUGAUGAGAAGGUGCGUCACUGUCACACGUGCACACUAUUACUCACACACUCCUGCUUAAACAUGAUGA